AGGGUUUAACUAAAACAUUAAAUAGUCAAAGAAAGAAUGGGCUGGGAUUUAUUAAGCCCAUAACGUAAAUACUUAUUUAUUCCAUUGCAAAGUCUUUGAAAUGUCCUGGUAGCUUCGUAGGUCUUUUUCCCAAAUCAAGAAACUUGUUACUUCCCACAGGUGCCUUCGUAGUAGAUUCUCCAGAUGUGCCUCCAAUGUUGCCAGCCUCGUUCAUGUUCUCUGACGCGUCCUCCCAGCCUGCAUCGUCGUCAUCAGGUAACUCACUCUCCGAUAUCUCAUCUUCCCCAUCCGAUGUUCGUUCUUUGAGUUCUACAUCUUGUAAGAGUAGAUCCCUUUGUAACAGGACUCUAUCAUCUCCUUCUUCCAUCAAACCAACCUUGUCCUCAAGUUUAAUUGAUGGAAACGCUGCUGAUAGUUUCUCCAGACGCUCCCAAGUUGUCUCCUCCGGUGGUAGUCCUUCCCAUUGAACUAGUAGCUCGAUGUAGUGUAUUUCUUUAUCAAUCACUGUCCUUUUCCCCAAUAUCGCCAACGGAAUAGUCACGAUCUCGUUCCUGUAAGUAACAUCUGGCAUAUUUUGUUUUAACAUUUCUGGAUUUGUACCUUUGAAUUUUUUCAGCUUUGAUAUGUGAAAAAUUGGGUGGAUUUUGCUAGUUUUUGGUAGUUCUAACUGGUAUGCUACUUUGCUGAUUGCUUUGGUGACCUUGAAUGGACCGAAGUAACGAGCUGAUAAUUUCGGAUGAAACCUGAAUUCCACGGAAUAUUGCCUGUAGGGUUGCAGCCGCACCAUCACCCAAUCUCCCUCGGUAAGAAUUGUUUCUCUUCUGGAUUUAUCCGCCAUAUCUUUCAUAUAUUGUUGGGAUUUCUUUAAGCUUGCUUUCACAGAUUUAAUAAUCUCUUCUCUUCUAUUUAAUUCUGUUUGUACUGCUUCUACUGCUGAAGAUUUACCCACGAAUGACGGUAUAAUAGGCGCUUCUCUUCCGUAUAAAGCCAUGAAUGGAGACAUCCCGAUCGACACAUUGAAAGUGGAAUUCAACCAUAAUUCUGCCCAAGGUAUUGCCUCAAUCCAUCUUUUAGGAUUUUCGUACGUAAGAGAUCUUAAGAAUAUUUCUAUUCCCCGGUUAACUACUUCCGUUUGGCCAUCUGUUUGUGGAUGAUAAGCGGUUGAUAGUUUUAGGGUUGUACCACUAAGUUUAUGAACCUCUCUCCAAAAUCUUCCGGUAAAUACCCUAUCACGAUCCGAGACGAUCGAUUGUGGUAUUCCAUGUAGUUUAACUAUUGUUUGAGUGAAUGCUUGAGCAACACUAGUAGCCGAGUAAUCUGUGGUUAAAGCCGUCAAGUGACAAAAUUUUGAGAGACGGUCUACCACGACCAUAAUAACUGUUUUCCCCUUUACUUUAGGAAGCCCAGUCACAAAAUCCAUACUGAUAUCUUGCCAAACCGCUUCAGGAAUUGGUAAUGGCAUCAAUAAACCUUGUUGUUUCAUAGGAGGUAUUUUCAUCCUUUGACAAGUCACACAUUCUUCAACAAAUUUUUUUAUAUCUUUUCUCAUACUUUUCCAAAAGAAAACUCCUCUAAUCCUCUUUUCAGUUCUUUCACUACCCGAGUGACCGCCCAAUUUAGAAGCAUGGAAUUCAUUCAUAAUCAACUUAAUUAAUUCUGACUCUUUAUCCACAAAUAGUCUGCCUUUGAAAUAAAUAAGACCCAAUAUAUUUUCAUAAUUAACAUAGUUAGGAUCACCUUCUCGCAGUUUAUUUGCAAUAUUCAGAUAAGAUUCCUUUGUUUCAUUCUCUUUUUUCAAUUUCUCUUUAAGAUCACUGAUGUAAACUGUUAAUGCUAAAAAUUCACAUCCUUUUCCAGGAAACUCCUCAUCAAUUUGAACCCGAGAUAAGGCAUCUGCUACCUUAUUCUCACUUCCUGGUUUGUAUUCAAUUGCAUAGUCAAAACCCAAUAAUUUGAACAGGAACUUUUGUUGGUCCGGGGUCUGAAUUACCUGAGAUAAUAAGUUUUUCAGACUUUUGUGAUCCGUCUUAAUGAUAAAUCUUCUUCCCAAAAUAUAAUGGCACCAUUUGCCGACAGCCUGCGUUAUUGCGUACAUUUCCUUAGCAUAAGUAGAUGCUUUGGACAUUCUCCCAGAUAACUUACUGCUAUAGAAAGCUAUAGGAUGAUUCUCUUGCAUUAGAACCGCUCCGAUCCCAGUUUCACAUGCAUCCGUUUCAAUCACAAAUGUUUUAUUGAAAUUUGGAUAAGCCAACACUGGAGCCUUCAACAUUUCUUUUUUUAAAUUCACAAAGGCAGUGGUAACCUCUUCCGACCAUACAAACUUAUCUUUUCUUAGUAAAUCCGACAAGGGUGCUGCCAAUUUCGCAUAGCCUUUAAUAAAUUUUCUGUAGUACCCUGUAAGUCCCAGAAAUCCUCUCAAAUCUUUAAUAGUCUUAGGUAAAGGCCAACGAACCAUAGCUUCCAACUUUUCUGGAUCUGCUCUAACUCCAUUAGCAGAAAUUACAUGACCCAAAAAAUAUACUGUAGUCCUCUCAAAAGCACAUUUUGAAAUUUUUACUGCCAAUCUGUUUUUUCUUAAUAAUGAAAAAACAAUUCCUAAGUGUUGCUUGUGCUCUUCCAUAGAUUUACUAUAAAUCAAUAUAUCAUCAAAGAAAACCAAAAUAAACUUACGAAGAUAUUCGUGAAAAAUCGAAUUCAUAGUCGCUUGAAACGUAGCUGGUACAUUAGUUAGCCCAAAGGGCAUAACUAAGAACUCAAAGUGUCCAUGAUGGGUUCUAAAUGCCGAUUUAGGAAUAUCUGGUGGAUGAAUUCUGAUUUGAUGAUAUCCAGAGCGCAAGUCUAAUUUAGAGAAUACCAUUGUACCAUCUAGCUCACCCAAUAUCUCAUCGGUUGUUGGGAUUGGGAACCGAUCUUUAAUAGUUAUAGAGUUUAGAGCUCGGUAAUCCACACAAAGUCUCCAUCCGCCAUCUUUCUUUUUAAUUAAAAUUACGGGAGAAGAAUACGGGCUGUUACUAUUCCUGAUGAAUCCUUGGGAUAAUAAUUGUUUGAUUAGAUUCUCCAUCUCCAUCUUCUGAUAUUGAGGAUAACGAUACGGUCGCACAUUUACCGGUUUCUCAUUAGGCAGAAUAUGUAUAUGGUGAUCUUGGGAACGCUCUGGUGGAAGUUCUGUUGGUUCUUCAAAAAUAUCUCUGAAUUCUUCCAAUAACGUUUUGGUUGACUCAGAAAUAUUAUUAUCAUCUUCAAUUGAUAUUCCCUUAUCCUUCAAAUUAUUGAUCUCAAAUCUGCAUAAAUAAGCUUGUUUUGCACCUCCCACCAGAUUUCUAAGUUCUCUAGAAGAUAUUGUUUCUUCUUCAAUACUUGAUUCUCCUUUCCAGAUAGUUAAAUUAUUGUUGAAAACGAAUUCCAUAGACAUUUCAUUCCAGUCUGUCAUUAUUCUGCCAACUGACUUCAUCCAUUGCACACCCAAUAUCAAAUUAGCUCCUUCCAACUUUAGCAUAUAUAAAUCAGUCGUGAUCUUAGAACCUUGUAUUGCUAUUGUUACGUUUUUACACAUCCUCGAGCAUUUCAAGUCUUCACCACUACCCGUACCCACAGUAAAUUCAGAAAUUGGAGACACUGGUAAUUUUAGUUUCUUAGCAAUUUCUGUUUGAAUAAAAUUGUGGGAGGAUCCGGAAUCUAUUAGGACUGAUAUUUUCCGACCAUUCAAUACACCGUUCAGACGAAUAGUUUCAGGAUUAGAAUCACCAUUAAAUGCAUAAUAGCUGAUUUUUGAUAUCUCUGUAGUCUGAAUAUUAUCCAUUGCAUCUUUAAAUUCUUCGCCAUCCUCAUGAGAGUCUUCUUCAUUCAUUUCAGUCAGCACAUCUCCUUCUGCAGAUAAUCUAAAUAACCUUCCUUUGCAACGAUGUCCCCGAAUCCAUUUUUCGUCACAGUUAUAACAAAGUCCUUUUUCUCUUCUUGCUUUCAUUUCGAUCGGUGUCAAUUUAUUUUUUAUCACAGUCUCUUUGUUAUAUCCUGCAUCCCCAAUCCUUUUGUGUGGUGGAACAUAAUUAUUACGUUGCCCUUCCCACAAAACUAUUUGUUUAUUAUUAGAAUAAACUGUUUCUUGUACCUCGCAUACCUUUGCUAAAGCAAACGCUUCCGAUAUCCCUUCUGGUCUUGCCUUUACUAACUCUUUUUGGAUCUCUGGUUUUAAGCCAGUGAUAUACAUUUGCCGCUUUGUCUCUUCAGAAACUCCUCUUACUUUAGUUGCUAAGGCUUCAAAUUUAUUUUGAUAAUCCUUUACAGACGUUGUUUGUACUAGCCUUCCCAAACGUCCUGUCGGUAGGUCAUAAGGACUGUUGCCAAACCUUUUCUGUAUAUCAUCUAAAAAAUCAGACCACGAUUGUAAAUUACCUUCGGCCUCCAUCCAAACCAUCCAGUCCAAUGCUUCAUCUUCCAUGUUCAUAGUUGCCUGAAUUAUUCUUUCCUCAUCCGGAGUACCAUGAUACCGAAAAUACUUCUUUACUUGAUAUAUCCAACCUUCCACAUUUUUACCGUUAAAUUUUGGCAUCUUUGUUUGCAGAUUUCUUUUGACGAUCUCACGGCUUCCUUGAUUAUUUGACGAUGAAGAACCUUCGUUUACAUAUUUGGCGAGAUCUGAAACUGUAGCUCCCAACUUGGCUACCAUAUCAUUUAUUUGAAAAAAUGCUUGUUUAUUCUCUAAUGCUUCCGCAUCUUGCUUCUCUUGUAAUUUUUUUAACAAAUCUUCCAUUGCUGUAAUUUCCUGUAUUAAAACUGAUUUUAGUUUCAAAUCAAAAUACGAGACAAGUCGAGAAUACGUCCCUUAUUUAGAUCUAGGUAUAGAGCUAGAUCAACUCUUGGAUUUUUUUUUGAAUUAAUUUAAGUCGUUCCCGACUAUGCAGAUUUAAAUCUUGUUAAUCAAAUACUUUCACUCUAACACAAAUAAUAGAAAUACUAAAAUAGAUACGUCCCUGUUGUGGAUCUAGUAUAGAUCUAGAUCAGAUCUUGGAAUGCGUUUUUGAACUGAUUAACGUCGUUCCCGACGGUCUUCUGAAGAUCUUCGGAAGAGUUCGGUUGAAAGUACCAAUGAUAGAUGAUGAAGCGAAUGUUGAGAACAAACACCAACUAUCUCACGAAAACAGCAAUUUAUUCAACAAAAUCGAGAAAAAACUUCCAAGAUGAACCGUGUCCACUUGUUUAGGGAAGCCGUAGCUUAGUUUUUGAAUCAAGAUAAUCUCAUUUAGGGUUUAACUAAAACAUUAAAUAGUCAAAGAAAGAAUGGGCUGGGAUUUAUUAAGCCCAUAACGUAAAUACUUAUUUAUUCCAUUGCAAAGUCUUUGAAAUGACCUGGUAGCUUCGUAGGUCUUUUUCCCAAAUCAAGAAACUUGUUACUUCCCACAGGUGCCUUCGUAGUAGAUUCUCCAGAUGUGCCUCCAAUGUUGCCAGCCUCGUUCAUGUUCUCUGACGCGUCCUCCCAGCCUGCAUCGUCGUCAUCAGGUAACUCACUCUCCGAUAUCUCAUCUUCCCCAUCCG
rnacentral:lncRNA from 1 species